rnacentral:rRNA from 1 species
GUAGGUGGCAAGCGUUGUCCGGAAUUAUUGGGCGUAAAGCGCGCGCAGGCGGUUCUUUAAGUCUGAUGUGAAAGCCCCCGGGCUCAACCGGGGAGGGUCAUUGGAAACUGGGGAACUUGAGUGCAGGAGAGGAAAGUGGAAUUCCACGUGUAGCGGUGAAAUGCGUAGAUAUGUGGAGGAACACCAGUGGCGAAGGCGACUUUCUGGCCUGUAACUGACACUGAGGCGCGAAAGCGUGGGGAGCAAACAGGAUUAGAUACCCUGGUAGUCCACGCCGUAAACGAUGAGUGCUAAGUGUUGGGGGGUUUCCGCCCCUCAGUGCUGCAGCUAACGCAUUAAGCACUCCGCCUGGGGAGUACGGUCGCAAAGACUG